rnacentral:rRNA from 1 species
AUUGAACGCUGGCGGCAGGCCUAACACAUGCAAGUCGAGCGGAUGAAGGGAGCUUGCUCCUGGAUUCAGCGGCGGACGGGUGAGUAAUGCCUAGGAAUCUGCCUGGUAGUGGGGGAUAACGUCCGGAAACGGGCGCUAAUACCGCAUACGUCCUGAGGGAGAAAGUGGGGGAUCUUCGGACCUCACGCUAUCAGAUGAGCCUAGGUCGGAUUAGCUAGUUGGUGGGGUAAAGGCCUACCAAGGCGACGAUCCGUAACUGGUCUGAGAGGAUGAUCAGUCACACUGGAACUGAGACACGGUCCAGACUCCUACGGGAGGCAGCAGUGGGGAAUAUUGGACAAUGGGCGAAAGCCUGAUCCAGCCAUGCCGCGUGUGUGAAGAAGGUCUUCGGAUUGUAAAGCACUUUAAGUUGGGAGGAAGGGCAGUAAGUUAAUACCUUGCUGUUUUGACGUUACCAACAGGAUAAGCACCGGCUAACUUCGUGC